rnacentral:tRNA from 1 species
GCGCCUGUGGCCUAACGGAUAGGGCACUAGCCUCCGAAGCUGGUUGUGGCAGUUCAAUUCUGCCCAGGCGCA